GAUGAACGCUGGCGGCGUGCCUAAUACAUGCAAGUCGAGCGAAAAGACGAGGAGCUUGCCACUCGGACGUUAGCGGCGGACGGGUGAGUAACACGUGGCUAACCUACCUAUAAGACGGGGGUAACUUCGGGACACCUGCGCUAAUACCGGUCAAUAUAUUGAACCGCAUGGUUCAAUAGUGAAAGACGGUUUUGCGGCCACUUAUAGAUGGAUCCGCGCCGCAUUAGCUAGUUGGUAAGGUAACGGCUUACCAAGGCAACGAAGCGUAGCCGACCUGAGAGGGGGGUCGGCCACACGGGAGCUGAGACACGGUCCAGACUCCUACGGGAGGCACCAGUAGGGAAUCGUCCGCAAUGGGCGAGAGCUUGACGGAGCAACGCCGCGUGAGUGAUGAAGGUCUUCGGAUCGUAAAACUCUGUUAUUGGGGAAGAACAAAUUUGUAAGUAACUGUGCACGUCUUGACGGUACCUAAUCAGAAAGCCACGGCUAACUACGUG
rnacentral:rRNA from 1 species